CGCCUCCAUCUUCACAGCAUGAAGGGUGCGGGAUGGGGCAGGAGACCGGAGGGAGUUGAGGUUUUGCACCCGAUAAGGAGACGCAUAAAGGGAACGGGUGGGGACACAGGGCCCCUGCAGCCUCAGGAGGAUCAGCAGUGGCCUGGUUUACUCGUGUCGUCAUUCGUCGUGGGCACCUUGUCCCCGGGGCCGGCCAGUUACUUGGCCUCCUGGCUCAUCAUCCUGCCGGAAGCAUCUCCAGCUUGGGGAUGUUGGAGGGUCCCUGGCCCCACCUGGCUGGGGAUGGAGUGUGUGAGCUGCCCUGGGCUGAAUCUGGAAGCCGAGGAGAUGCCAUGUGAGGGUGCAGCGAGGAGUUGGGCUGUCUAAAAGCAAAGAAAGAGAUUGCAUCAGACACCGCAUCUGCUGACACCUUGUUCUUGGACUUCCAGCUUCCAAAACCGCGAGAAAUAAAUGUCUGUGUCUAAACCCCAACCCUACCACCUCAACUGCCGUGUGUGGUGUUUUGUGAUGGCAGCCCCAGCUGACUGAGACACCUGGUUAGACCGGAAUAAGCAGGCUGCAAUCGGUAGCAGUCACCAUUGAACAUCCUUGAAGCAAUUCUUCCAAAAUUACCUUGCAUCAAAGACUGCACAAGAACUGCUCUAAGCGGAAGGACUGAUGUCGGCAACCAGGGUUCCACCAGGGGCUGCAGACAGCCCUUGACCUUCAGGUCAUGAUAAAAGCACCGAAUAGAACUGGACCGAUGACAUGGCCCUCUGACAUGGCACUAGAAACUGCCCUUCAAGUGGAUGGUGAUCUAUCCAGCAAGAAUUUUUGGAUACAGUAAUGUCACCUGCUAUAAUUUCACUUCAUGCUUCUGCUUUUUGCACAGGGCUAGUGUGAGCAUCCCUGUGCAAUGGCUUAUUGGGAAAUUGAUGUGCAUUGCACCGGAAGCAAUCUCCUCAUCUUCCUGCUUACUCAUCAGACUGAAAAAGGCAACACAGACUACCAUUCAUUGUGUGGCUACAAGGCACUAUGCAUUUUCAUACAAUAUAUCUAAAGCCCAUAAUACUCACCAAAAUAAACCAUUGCUGCCACAAUUUAAGAGAUGAGUGGAAUGAAGCUCAGGGGUAAAGUAAUGGGUUUAAAUUAUAGUCUUAUCUGACUCCAAAAACCAUUCUCUUGCUAUUUCUUCAUACAGCUUAUCAGGAUCACCAUGUCCUGAUCUUUUUCUGAGCAUUCAGUCUCCUAUUUCCUAAGUGCUCAGCAAAACAUUUGCCAGCCCAAUUCUUAAUUUCAUUAUCAUCAGCAAAAUGAAUAAUCAGAAUUAAUUGGUGAAUGGUUUCUUCCUAGCACCCCUUUAAGAAACUUUCCCCUGCAAUCUCCAUGGGCACUAGCUUCAGCCCUUGAGUAUAAAUAAGUCAGUAAUAAAGAAUGUAGGAG
rnacentral:lncRNA from 1 species